rnacentral:tRNA from 1 species
GUUGAUGUAGCUUAAACACUUACAAAGCAAGACACUGAAAAUGUCUAGAUGGGUCUAGCCAACCCCAUUGACA